ensembl:lncRNA
CAUACGCAUAGAUAGAUGAGUUCAAACUGUCACCACCAGUUGAAUUAAGCGUGUUUUUGUUUUGUGUUUGCUUUAAUUGCGUCCAUGUGAAGGUACUGCAAAUACUUCUAAAAAUGAAAAUAUUGAUAUACACUUGCCCAUAGGCUCCAGUGUGAGAACAGCACAGUUAUGAACUAAGUAGACCUACUUUAGGCAGCCAUCGUGAACGCCUGACUACCUCCAUCUGCUGGUGACUUUUAGAACAGCAGCAGAUAAAUAAACUGUGUAUAUCUAAGGUGAAAGUGAAACCAUUCUUCAGUGCGUCGCUUCCUGUUCCGAGUAGCUCAUCGUAAUGGCAUGCCCGAGAAACAACAAAGUAGAGAGUGUUGAAACAUCUAAUCCAGUCAAGCAGAAGCUGAAGAAAUUCUACCCGAUCGUGGCAGGGAAUACAAAAGACUGCCAUAAAAAAGUUGUCAAGAAACUUAAGAAAUAUGGAGCGAAGAAAGUGGACAGCGCUGAGAGAAGUGAAGUGGUGUUGAUCUUCUGUCCCAUCGUCAGUCGUUUUGAAUCGGACAUAAACGCUGCUCUGAGUGAACUCCAACUCAACGAAUGUACCAGGUCACCGAAACUCAUCAUGGUGGCCAUGCAUCACACACACAAGGCCGAUUACACCGUACCGCCCAAAAGAAAGCACAGCCACAACGGACAGGACGUCCCGGUGGCGCACUGUCUCUUUCACGAGACCAAGGGCCUCCUUCAGUGUCCGGCCAACAAGCAGGCUGUCAAAGCUAUCCGGAAAGAAAUGGGGAUCAAAAAGUAUCGACAUCGAUUCUUUUAAUUUGUUGACACAUCUGCGAAAUCAUUCAAGACAACUUCAGUCAAGACUGAAGAAGAUGAAUUUGAAAAAGGUGCCAAUAUUUGUCAAAUGUGGCUCAUAGCCCUUACCACUUUGUCUCAGGCUCACCAGGCUAAGAUGAUACUUUAAAGGCCCUAUACCUGUAUACCUUUUUUAUUUAUUACAAUGAAAGUUUAGACUUAUAUUAGUAGACUGUCACUCCUCCCCAUUUACGCCAUUGGUCCCAACGUUCCUACCCCAUUUCUAACAUCCCAGUUAUUCACAGGAAUGAGCUUAAAAACACAUUUCACAACUUUCAUUGUCACUGUCACAGUAAUGCUAACAAAAACAUCCAGUCUUGUUUUUCACAAACCGCUGACUGCAUAUUCAAAUACUGAAGGAGGACAAUUACAGGGCCUUUAAGUGGUAGCUGUUGAAAUGUUUAAAUUUGCAGAAACAGAAAGCAAUGGUCUAAGCUUAAAAGCAAUAGUGUAAACUUUGGACAGCCUGUUCACAAGAAGUUAUGUUCUGAUCCAUUUCUGCAUAAUGUAGAAAUGGAUUAUUUUCAGUUGCCAAUUUGCUUUAUAAUAGAGAGUCCUUCACACUUCUCAAGACUUGCUGUAUUGUACUGAUAGCUUUGUUAAGCAUUCACAGAUCUUAUUUAAUUUUGUGCGCCGCAGAAUGUAGUGUUAGCUUCAAUAGAUUCACUGUCACAUAACGCUGUUGUGUCUUUUGCCUUUCUGUCUGCAUGUCUGGAAUUAAGAUGCAGUUAAUGCAGUUCUGUGCUCGCUCUAAUGACGUCAUCCAUCUCUGCUGUGUUUGUACCAGAACCUUCAACAGUCUUUACCUCUAAACACCUUCUAACCAACUCCUCCAGUCCGGUAACCCCCCUGGCUUAUUAGACUCUGUUUCUGUAAUGAUAUGCAAUAAUAUACAAACAACACACUGUAUACUUGUCAUACUUGUGCUUCCCUUCUAUUAAACGUUGCACUGUUGCUCUGACUGCAUGCACUUCACUCCGCUGCUCACAAGAUGGCACCUGAAGAUGACAUUUCAUCACAUAGAGGCCUUGUACUGUAGUGAGUACUGUACUUGCACUGUACAUGUUCUGAUAUGUAAGGCUUUGUAAAUAAAUACGGCUGAAAAACGUG